UGGACUACACGGGUUUCUAAUCCCGUUCGCUCCCCUAGCUUUCGUUCCUCAGCGUCAGAAAAGACCCAGUGAUGCGCUUUCGCCACCGGUGUUCCUGUUGAUAUCAACGCAUUUCACCGCUCCACCAACAGUUCCCAUCACCCCUGUCUCCCUCGAGCCUAGUGGUUUGAAGCGCAAUUCCACGGUUGAGCCGUGGGCUUUCACACCUCACCUUCUAGGCCGCCUACGAACGCUUUAAGCCCAGUGAUACCGAAUAACGUUCGGACGGUUCGUCUUACCGCGGCGGCUGGCAC
rnacentral:misc_RNA from 2 species